AUUGAACGCUGGCGGCAGGCCUAGCACAUGCAAGUCGAGCGGAUGAAGGGAGCUUGCUCCUGGAUUCAGCGGCGGACGGGUGAGUAAUGCCUAGGAAUCUGCCUGGUAGUGGGGGAUAACGUCCGGAAGCGGGCGCUAAUACCGCAUACGUCCUGAGGGAGAAAGUGGGGGAUCUUCGGACCUCACGCUAUCAGAUGAGCCUAGGUCGGAUUAGCUAGUUGGUGGGGUAAAGGCCUACCAAGGCGACGAUCCGUAACUGGUCUGAGAGGAUGAUCAGUCACACUGGAACUGAGACACGGUCCAGACUCCUACGGGAGGCAGCAGUGGGGAAUAUUGGACAAUGGGCGAAAGCCUGAUCCAGCCAUGCCGCGUGUGUGAAGAAGGUCUUCGGAUUGUAAAGCACUUUAAGUUGGGAGGAAGGGCAGUAAGUUAAUACCUUGCUGUUUUGACGUUACCAACAGAAUAAGCACCGGCUAACUUCGUG
rnacentral:rRNA from 1 species